AGAGUUUGAUCCUGGCUCAGAACGAACGUUGGCGGCGCUGCCAUUAGGCAUGCAAGUCGAACGAAUCCCCGGGGGCAACUCCGGGGGGAAGUGGCGAAAGGGGCAGUAAGGCAUGGGUAACCUACCCCGGGGACCGGGAUAGCCCUCCUAACGGAGGGGUAAUACCGGGCGACCUGGCGAGGCGGCAUCGUCUUGCCAGCAAAUGAAUCUCGCCCUGGGAGGGGCUCAUGUGCUAUUAGCUUGUUGGCGGGGUAACGGCCCACCAAGGCGAAGAUGGCUAGCGGGUGUGAGAGCACGACCCGCGCCACUGGCACUGUGACACUGGCCAGACUCCUACGGGAGGCUGCAGUCGAGGAUCUUCGGCAAUGGGCGCAAGCCUGACCGAGCGACGCCGCGUGUGCGAUGAAGGCCUUCGGGUUGUAAAGCACUGUCGAGGGGGAGGAAAGCCCGCAAGGGCCUGACCUAUCCCUGGAGGAAGCACGGGCUAAGUUCGUGCCAGCAGCCGCGGUAAGACGAACCGUGCGAACGUUGUUCGGAAUCACUGGGCUUAAAGGGCGCGUAGGCGGGUUCGCAAGUCGGGGGUGAAAUCUUUCAGCUCAACUGGAAAAGUGCCCCCGAUACUGCGAGUCUCGAGGGAGGUAGGGGCAUGCGGAACUUCCGGUGGGAGCGGUGAAAUGCGUAGAUAUCGGGAAGGAACGCCGGU
rnacentral:rRNA from 1 species